AGCGAACGCUGGCGGCAGGCCUAACACAUGCAAGUCGAACGAACCUUUCGGGGUUAGUGGCGGACGGGUGAGUAACACGUGGGAACGUGCCUUUAGGUUCGGAAUAACUCAGGGAAACUUGUGCUAAUACCGAAUGUGCCCUUCGGGGGAAAGAUUAAUCGCCUUUAGAGCGGCCCGCGUCUGAUUAGCUAGUUGGUUGAGGUAAUGGCUCACCAAGGCGACGAUCAGUAGCCGGUCUGAGAGGAUGAUCAGCCACAUUGGGACUGAGACACGGCCCAAACUCCUACGGGAGGCAGCAGUGGGGAAUCUUGCGCAAUGGGCGAAAGCCUGACGCAGCCAUGCCGCGUGAAUGAUGAAGGUCUUAGGAUUGUAAAAUUCUUUCACCGGGGACGAUAAUGACGGUACCCGGAGAAGAAGCCCCGGCUAACUUCGUG
rnacentral:rRNA from 1 species